UACGAAGGGGGCUAGCGUUGCUCGGAAUCACUGGGCGUAAAGCGCACGUAGGCGGAUUCUUAAGUCAGGGGUGAAAUCCUGGAGCUCAACUCCAGAACUGCCUUUGAUACUGGGAAUCUCGAGUUCGGGAGAGGUGAGUGGAACUGCGAGUGUAGAGGUGAAAUUCGUAGAUAUUCGCAAGAACACCAGUGGCGAAGGCGGCUCACUGGCCCGAUACUGACGCUGAGGUGCGAAAGCGUGGGGAGCAAACAGGG
rnacentral:rRNA from 1 species